GCAGCUGACCCUGAUCCUCCUUCCAGAGAUUGCAGAAGAAAAGCAGCUGGCCACUACCCCAGACACCCAGUGGCUGCAUAAAGAGACAACACAGACUAAAGGGAGAAGAGUUAAAAUUCAAGCCAGGCUUGCCUAUGCCCAGAAAGCAACAUCAGAAAGAAAAUCUUGACAGCAGAGGAAGUUCAGCGGGUGGAUUGGGUCAGCUGGUGCCAUUUCGAGAGCCCCAGAGUCAGGCCCAGCAGCAAGAAACAUGUCAUAGCUCUGAUGACAAGUUUACACGGGGAUGUCAUGCCUUUCAUCUAAUUUGGUCUUCAUAAGAACCAUUGAGAGGCCCAAGGUAUAGAUUUUCACUAUUUAAAAAACAAGGAGCUUAGGCUCAGGAAACUACAUAACUUGCUCAGUGUCAUGUAAUAAAGAAACAGUGAAUACAAAAGUGGAC
rnacentral:lncRNA from 1 species